rnacentral:rRNA from 1 species
UACGUAGGGUGCAAGCGUUGUCCGGAAUUAUUGGGCGUAAAGAGCUCGUAGGCGGUCUGUCGCGUCUGCUGUGAAAACUCAGGGCUUAACCCUGAGCUUGCAGUGGGCACGGGCAGACUAGAGUGCGGUAGGGGAGACUGGAAUUCCUGGUGUAGCGGUGGAAUGCGCAGAUAUCAGGAGGAACACCGGUGGCGAAGGCGGUUCUCUGGGCAUUACCUGACGCUGAGGAGCGAAAGUGUGGGGAGCGAACAGG